UCUCUUCGUCUCUUCUUUCUUCUUCUUGUUCUUCUCUGUUCUUUCUCUCUCCCUCUCUGUUAAUUCCGAGCUCAGAGAUUUGAGCCUCUUCUGUCGAGAAAUUCUUAUAAGCCUUGUUAGCUUGAUGAACUGGGUUAGGAGAUGGUGACAUGAUGUCGUUUGAAUUUUGGAAGAAGCAGAAAGUUAGGGUUUGAGUAAUAUUUGAGUUAGGGUUUCAAUUGAGGAUCAAAGAAGAAUUAGAAAGUGAAGAUGAUGGUUUAGGGGAUUGAAUUAAGUUGGGUUUGUCUCGAAUUUAAGAUUUAGGGUUGAUGUUGAAGAUGAGAUUGAUGGUAUGGAAUUAGGGUUUUGUAAAUUGAAUUGGAGUAAGGAUUAAGGAGAGUUAGACAGAAUUACAAGAUGUGUUUGCUUAACUGAAGAUUUUGAUUGAUGUGUUGAGAUUGAAUUCGAGAUUGAAGAUAAUUAGAGAUUUUGUUCUUCCCCAAAUGGAUUUAGGGUUUCAGUAGAUUUGGAUUGGGAGAAAAGCAAUUCAGUGGGUGCUGAUACUUGGUGAGUUUAGAUGAAUGUUGGGUUUGCUGUAGAUGAUGAUGAAGAUGAUUAUAAUUGAGAUGUUGCUGGUUUGAGUUGUCUGAAUAACAUAAGAUUAGUUGCGACUCUUAAAUGGAAUCUGGGAUAUUGUUGAUGUUGCGUUAUUAUAGAGUGCAGGAAAGUUUAUGAAAUAGAGUGGUCGAAUUGUUGUUGAGACUUAGCUAAGAUGUGGCGGUUGAAAUGGGACGAAGAUAAGAGUAUGUUAUGGGUGAGCUUGUGUUGCUGGUGAGCUGAUAGUGUAGGUGAAGGCUGCAGUCUGGAUGUGAUAUGUAACUAAGAAGAAAAGUAUCAAACUUAGAAGAAGAAUUGAAAUGAGAUUAAGUCAGGGUGUGUGUGGAAUUGAAGCUGAAGAAUGGAAAUGAGGAUGGCAUUAUGAUUGUUGCUUAGGGUUGUAACUGCAAGGGGUGUUGGUUAAUGAGAAUAAGGAGUAGAGAUGAUAUUGGGACUGAAUUAUGUACAGAUUGGAGUGGACGGGUAAUGGAGGUUUAUAGAUAUCACUGGGUUAAGUUGAAAUUGUAAGUAAUUGAUCUGAUGGAGAUUCAGAUUGAAUAUGCAGUGUUGUCUGUAUUGAAUUUAGAUGAAUUGAAGUUGUAUUUGAGUUUCUGUUUUA